rnacentral:rRNA from 1 species
UAAUACGAAGGACCCGAGCGUUAUCCGGAUUUAUUGGGUUUAAAGGGUGCGUAGGCGGAUUUAUAAGUCAGUGGUGAAAGCCUAUAGCUUAACUAUAGAAUUGCCAUUGAUACUGUAGGUCUUGAGUACAGUUGAGGUGGGCGGAAUGUGCAGUGUAGCGGUGAAAUGCUUAGAUAUUGCACAGAACACCAAUUGCGAAGGCAGCUCGCUAAGCUGUAACUGACGCUGAGGCACGAAAGUGUGGGUAGCAAACAGGAUUAGAUACCCUGGUAGUCCACACCCUAAACGAUGAUAACUCGCUGUUGGCGAUACACAGUCAGCGGCUAAGCGAAAGCAUUAAGUUAUCCACCUGGGAAGUACGACCGCAAGGUUG